rnacentral:rRNA from 1 species
UACGGAGGGGGCUAGCGUUGUUCGGAAUUACUGGGCGUAAAGCGCGCGUAGGCGGUCCUGCAAGUCGGGGGUGAAAGCCCGAGGCUCAACCUCGGAACUGCCUUCGAUACUGCGGGUCUCGAGUCCGGGAGAGGUGAGUGGAAUUCCUAGUGUAGAGGUGAAAUUCGUAGAUAUUAGGAAGAACACCAGUGGCGAAGGCGGCUCACUGGCCCGGUACUGACGCUGAGGCGCGAAAGCGUGGGGAGCAAACAGG